rnacentral:piRNA from 1 species
UGCAAAAGGCACUUCGAUGAACUGUUCACU